UCCCUUCAGGAUCCAGGGACCAGGAGCCAGGACUGUUUGGCCAGUGGACUGUCCUGCUGGCUACUACUGUCCUCUGGGUACCCAGACACCCACCCAGCACCCGUGCCCCAGGGGCACCUUCCGAGAGAGGCCCGGGGCACGCAGCACCAAGGAUUGUAGGCCCUGUCCCGCAGGGCAAUUCUGCUCAGAUUCAGGGGCUGGGAAACGCUUCCCGGACGGGCCAUGCUCAGCAGGUUAUUACUGUCCCCCUGGCCAGACCUCAGCCACCCCUAUAUCUUUCCGGUGCCCCCGUGGCUUCUACUGUUCCGAGGGAUCUCCCCAGCCAAGGGCCUGUGAGAACGGAACAUUCCAGCCCCAGGAAGCAAAGGACUCCUGUGAGCCCUGCCCCGCAGGAUUCUACUGUGACGCCUCUGGCAAAGGACCCAGCCUGUGCCUCCGGGGCUACUUCUGUCCCCCAGGCUCCCACUCAGCCACUGCCCACCCAUGCCCUCGGGGGACAUUCGGGCCCAGGCAAGGGGCCACUGCAGAGCGGGACUGUGAGCUGUGCCCAGCAGGUUUGUGGACUCUGGACCCUGGGCCCUCAGGGAGCCUAGGCUGAAAGGCUGGGGAGAGAACGAGGAAAAGCAGAAGGAGGGCAAGGAAACAAGUCAUGAGGGAGCAUGUGCCCUGGGCCCUGGACCCACAUUGUCAGGGCAGCACCUCAUGUCCAGCAACUGGGACAAGGAAAGCAAAGUCAGGUCCAGACAUGGGCCAGGGUCCCAUCAACCUCCUAGCGGGCCCAUAGCCCCUACUGUCUGG